GUGGGUAGCGGAGAAAUUCCAAUCGAACUUGGAGAUAGCUGGUUCUCUCCGAAAUAGCUUUAGGGCUAGCCUCGUGAAUUAGAAUACUGGAGGUAGAGCACUGUUUGGACUAGGGGGGCAUCUCGCUUUACCGAAUUCAGACAAACUCCGAAUGCCAGAUAUUUAUACACGGGAGUCAGACUGCGAGUGAUAAGAUCCGUAGUCAAAAGGGAAACAGCCCAGACCACCAGCUAAGGUCCCAAAGUAAUCGUUAAGUGGAAAAGGAUGUGGCGUUGCUUAGACAACCAGGAUGUUGGCUUAGAAGCAGCCAUCAUUUAAAGAGUGCGUAAUAGCUCACUGGUCGAGUGACGCUGCGCCGAAAAUGUAUCGGGGCUAAACGAUUCACCGAAGCUGUGGAUUCGCAUCUAAGAUGCGAGUGGUAGGAGAGCGUUCUAAGUGCGUUGAAGUCAGACCGGAAGGACUGGUGGAGCGCUUAGAAGUGAGAAUGCCGGUAUGAGUAGCGAAAGAUGGGUGAGAAUCCCAUCCACCGUAUGACUAAGGUUUCCUGAGGAAGGCUCGUCCGCUCAGGGUUAGUCGGGACCUAAGUCGAGGCCGAUAGGCGUAGACGAUGGACAACAGGUUGAUAUUCCUGUACCACCUCCCCGCCGUUUGAGUAAUGGGGGGACGCAGUAGGAUAGGGUAAGCGCGCCGUUGGUUGUGCGCGUCCAAGCAGUAAGGCGUGGAAGUAGGCAAAUCCGCUUCCUGUAACGUUGAGCUGUGAUGGCGAGCGAUUAUUCGCGAAGUUCCUGAUUUCACACUGCCAAGAAAAGCCUCUAGCGAGGCGGGAGGUGCCCGUACCGCAAACCGACACAGGUAGUCGAGG
rnacentral:rRNA from 1 species